CCUACGGGAGGCAGCAGUGAGGAAUAUUGGUCAAUGGGCGGGAGCCUGAACCAGCCAAGUCGCGUGAGGGAAGACGGUCCUAUGGAUUGUAAACCUCUUUAGGCGGGGAGCAAUGCCGGGCACGCGUGCCCGGAGGGAGAGUACCCGCAGAAGAAGCAUCGGCUAACUCCGUGCCAGCAGCCGCGGUAAUACGGAGGAUGCGAGCUUUAACCGGAUUUAUUGGGUUGAAAGGGUGCGUCGGCGGAUUUUUAAGUCAGCGGUAAACUGUCCGGGCUCAACCCGGGCCGGCCGUUGAAACGGGGGAUCUUGAGUGGGCGAGAAGUCUGCGGAAUGCGUGUUGUAGCGG
rnacentral:rRNA from 1 species